AAUCCUGCUUUUAAGCAUGUAUGAGACAGUGUUUAAGCUAGGCAAAAUCCCAUGUGUUAGUAGAACUUAGCUUUAAAACAGAGGGUCAGGGCAUGGUAUCUUAUUACUGAAGAAGUAAGUGACUGUGUAUAAAUAUUCUUGAACUACAAGAUAGGACCUGCUUACGGAGAGAACUCUGGAAGUUGGACUUCAAUCACGCACUUAUUCAGUCCCCCAAAAGUCUACCUUGAAGAUUCCUAGCAGUACAAAAAUGACUUGAGAUAAUUUCCAAAACAUCUGAAGCUAGACCUGACCACUGGCCAAGUUAUACGCUAUUGCCGACAGAGACCAUCAAUCUAUUGGUAUUGAAACCAAGGAAGUAAAAAAAGAUGCAUUUCUGGGGCUUUUCUGGAUUACUUGGAAACUUUCCACAGCUUGGCUUAUGCAAUGAGAACCUGAAGGGUGUCUUGAAGGCCUUGGAUUCAGUAAAGACUGAGG